GCCCCUGUGGCGCAAUCGGUAGCGCGUAAGACUUCUAUGACAUGGUCAUCUUAAGGCUGUGGGUCCCACCACGGGCU
rnacentral:tRNA from 1 species